UGAGGGGUAAAUGGAUUCUAUUGGCUGAG
rnacentral:piRNA from 1 species